AGAGUUUGAUCCUGGCUCAGGACGAACGCUGGCGGCGUGCCUAAUACAUGCAAGUAGAACGCUGAAGAGAGGAGCUUGCUCUUCUUGGAUGAGUUGCGAACGGGUGAGUAACGCGUAGGUAACCUGCCUUGUAGCGGGGGAUAACUAUUGGAAACGAUAGCUAAUACCGCAUAACAAUGGAUGACACAUGUCAUUUAUUUGAAAGGGGCAAUUGCUCCACUACAAGAUGGACCUGCGUUGUAUUAGCUAGUAGGUGAGGUAAUGGCUCACCUAGGCGACGAUACAUAGCCGACCUGAGAGGGUGAUCGGCCACACUGGGACUGAGACACGGCCCAGACUCCUACGGGAGGCAGCAGUAGGGAAUCUUCGGCAAUGGGGGCAACCCUGACCGAGCAACGCCGCGUGAGUGAAGAAGGUUUUCGGAUCGUAAAGCUCUGUUGUAAGUCAAGAACGAGUGUGAGAGUGGAAAGUUCACACUGUGACGGUAGCUUACCAGAAAGGGACGGCUAACUACGUGCCAGCAGCCGCGGUAAUACGUAGGUCCCGAGCGUUGUCCGGAUUUAUUGGGCGUAAAGCGAGCGCAGGCGGUUUGAUAAGUCUGAAGUUAAAGGCUGUGGCUCAACCAUAGUUCGCUUUGGAAACUGUCAAACUUGAGUGCAGAAGGGGAGAGUGGAAUUCCAUGUGUAGCGGUGAAAUGCGUAGAUAUAUGGAGGAACACCGGUGGCGAAAGCGGCUCUCUGGUCUGUAACUGACGCUGAGGCUCGAAAGCGUGGGGAGCGAACAGGAUUAGAUACCCUGGUAGUCCACGCCGUAAACGAUGAGUGCUAGGUGUUGGAUCCUUUCCGGGAUUCAGUGCCGAAGCUAACGCAUUAAGCACUCCGCCUGGGGAGUACGACCGCAAGGUUGAAACUCAAAGGAAUUGACGGGGGCCCGCACAAGCGGUGGAGCAUGUGGUUUAAUUCGAAGCAACGCGAAGAACCUUACCAGGUCUUGACAUCCCGAUGACCGCCUUAGAGAUAAGGCUUUUCUUCGGAACAUCGGUGACAGGUGGUGCAUGGUUGUCGUCAGCUCGUGUCGUGAGAUGUUGGGUUAAGUCCCGCAACGAGCGCAACC
rnacentral:rRNA from 1 species